AACCUUAAUAAGUCCUCUACACACAAAAGUUUGGUCCUAACUUUAAAAUCAACUUUUUCUUAAUUUACACAUGCAAGCCUCCACACCCCUGUGAGUAAAACCCAUGAACCCCCUCGGAUUAAGGAGACGGUAUUAGGCGCAACAACCCGCCCAAUAUGCCUAGUAAAACCACACCCACAAGGGCCCCAGCAGUGAUUAACAUUAUUCAUGAGUGCCAACUCGAUCUAGUUAAAGAAAACAGGGCCGGCCAAUCUGGUGCCAGCCGCCGCGGUCAUACCAUAAGCCCAAAUUGAUUUUCUACGGCGUAAAGCGUGGUUAAAGCUACCCAUCACCUGGAGCUCAACUGAUACUAAGCGGUGAAAUGCCUGUUUUCAAGAAAACCAUAAACGAAAGUUGCUCCAUUUAAACACUUGAUCCCACGAUAGCCAGGGCACAAACUAGGAUCAGAUACCCUACUAUGCCUGGCCCUAAAACUUAAAAUUACUUCUUAUUAACGCCAAGGAACUACGAGCCACGCUUAAAACCUAAAGGACUUGACGGUACCCCAUAUCCCCCUAGAGGAGCCUGUCCUAUAACUGAUAACCCCCAUUAAACCUCACCACUCCUAGCUUAUCAGCCUGUAUACCUCCGUCCCAGCUCACCCUGUGAAUGAACCAGUGAGCAUUAACGUCAUUUACCUUUACUUCAGGUCAAGGUGCAGCAAACGAAGUGGGAAGAGAUGGGCUACACUCUCUAAGAUAGAGAACACGAAAGGCCAGUAUGCAAACUGGCUAGAAGGAGGAUUUAGUAGUAAAAAGAAGGCAGAGUAUUCUUUUUAACCCGGCACUGGGGUGUGUACACACCGCCCGUCACCCUCUUCAAGAACCCUAAAUAACAGUAUUUAACUAAAUUUUUCUAAACAAGAAGAGGCAAGUCGUAACAUGGUAAGCGUACCGGAAGGUGUGCUUGGAAACAAAGUA
rnacentral:ncRNA from 1 species